CGAAGCGGCUGAAUUGAUUCUUCGGAUGAUUUUCAGUUGACUGAGCGGCGGACGGGUGAGUAACGCGUGGGUGACCUGCCCCAUACCGGGGGAUAACAGCUGGAAACGGCCGCUAAUACCGCAUAAGCGCACAGAGCUGCAUGGCUCGGUGUGAAAAACUCCGGUGGUAUGGGAUGGGCCCGCGUCUGAUUAGGCAGUUGGCGGGGUAACGGCCCACCAAACCGACGAUCAGUAGCCGGCCUGAGAGGGCGACCGGCCACAUUGGGACUGAGACACGGCCCAAACUCCUACGGGAGGCAGCAGUGGGGAAUAUUGCACAAUGGGGGAAACCCUGAUGCAGCGACGCCGCGUGAGCGAAGAAGUAUUUCGGUAUGUAAAGCUCUAUCAGCAGGGAAGAUAAUGACGGUACCUGACUAAGAAGCCCCGGCUAACUACGUGCCAGCAGCCGCGGUAAUACGUAGGGGGCAAGCGUUAUCCGGAUUUACUGGGUGUAAAGGGAGCGUAGACGGCAAGGCAAGUCUGAUGUGAAAACCCAGGGCUUAACCCUGGGACUGCAUUGGAAACUGUCAUACUUGAGUGCCGGAGGGGUAAGCGGAAUUCCUAGUGUAGCGGUGAAAUGCGUAGAUAUUAGGAGGAACACCAGUGGCGAAGGC
rnacentral:rRNA from 1 species